rnacentral:rRNA from 2 species
CAGCCGCCGCGGUAAAACCAGCACCUCAAGUGGUCAGGAUGAUUAUUGGGCCUAAAGCAUCCGUAGCCGGCUCUGUAAGUUUUCGGUUAAAUCUGUACGCUCAACGUACAGGCUGCCGGGAAUACUGCAGAGCUAGGGAGUGGGAGAGGUAGACGGUACUCGGUAGGAAGGGGUAAAAUCCUUUGGUCUAUUGAUGACCACCUGUGGCGAAGGCGGUCUACCAGAACACGUCCGACGGUGAGGGAUGAAAGCUGGGGGAGCAAACCGGAUUAGAUACCCGGGUAGUCCCAGCUGUAAACUAUGCAAACUCAGUGAUGCAUUGGCUUGUGGCCAAUGCAGUGCUGCAGGGAAGCCGUUAAGUUUGCCGCCUGGGAAGUACGUACGCAAGUAUGAAACUUAAAGGAAUUGGCGGGGGAGCAC